GGAAGAAGAAAUACCUGCCAAAUGCACAAAAAGAAAUAGGACAAGAACUCCGGGUUAGAAAUUCACAGCGCUCAGUCCCAAGGGAUUGGGAACUUGCUGUACAGAUGAUCUCACUGUGAAAGUUUCAGAGACUCAAGGGGGUUUAUUAAUAGUUGGGGCACUGAAACCUCUGCUGCUUGUAGCAGUGACCUUUACAAUAGCAGGUCCCUGAACAAGAUCUUCUAUUCUCGGGAUAUGGGAGGCAUCAGCACAGUAGAAAACGAAGCUGACCAUCUCUCAGGAGGCAGACUGAAAUAUUGUCUAAUCUGGAGAAGCUACACCGCUCAAUAUGGAGGUUAGGAGAAGAGCCUAGAACACUCUGCUAGCUGCAAUGGAACCCCUUAAAGACACUCUGGUUCAAUAUCCGGGGUCCUGAGGCUGCUGUGGUGUGGAAGGCAGUGAAGUGGAAUAUCAUCAGGCUUAGGUUGGGAAUCUCUUCAGGCUUGCUUUCUGCAAAUCGCUGGGUACAAAACAUUAUUGCAGAUGUGGAAAAAAUGUGCAGAGAACCUGUGCUUCUGAUAAUGCCUGACAUGAAGAAAUGCAUCUGAAGAUCCUUUAUGAAAUGAAACUACUUAUUAAGAAAAACAGCCACUGAGGUGUUUAUACAAACAGCCAUACUAAGCAGUUUUAAUGAAGAUCGGCUUCAACAAAAGGAAUUCACUUAUUCAGUAGGUAAGCAGAGUGACACGUUUUCAUAGUCAUUGUGUUUAUCAUGAAAGUCAGUCUGAUAUUCUGCCCCAUUGUGAAACAAGGGUAAGUCUGAAAACACUUUUAAAAUCUGUCUAGCCAAGUGGUUGGAAUAGCUGCAAGCAGAAAUAGCGUCGAGUUUGAGAAAUGACAAGCCUAG
rnacentral:lncRNA from 1 species